GUGGUCAUCUGAGGUCAAAUCGAUAGUUAAUUAGAUGGCAUCUGGACUAAAAUACACACGAAACGAACCUAUAUAUUAUCUACCCCAUGUUCUGUAAACUGUUUAUUUUAGACUUUUGAUAGUUUGGAUAAAUGUUUUACAUUGUUAUAAAUCAAAUAUGAGAAUUUGAGUCAAAUCGGUGACCAUGAAUUUGACAGCUAGUGCCCCUUUAA
rnacentral:lncRNA from 1 species